AUACGGAGGAUCCGAGCGUUAUCCGGAUUUAUUGGGUUUAAAGGGUGCGCAGGCGGCCAUUUAAGUCAGCGGUUAAAUCGUGGGGCUCAACCCCAUUCUGCCGUUGAUACUGGGUGGCUUGAUUGCGGUCGAGGUUGGCGGAAUUCGUUGUGUAGCGGUGAAAUGCAUAGAUAUGACGAAGAACACCGAUUGCGUAGGCAGCUGACCAGACCGCAAAUGACGCUCAUGCACGAAAGUGCGGGGAUCGAACAGGAUUAGAUACCCUGGUAGUCCGCACAGUAAACGAUGAAUACUUGUUUUCGGCGAUAUAAUGUCGGAGGCAAAGCGAGAGCGAUAAGUAUUCCACCUGGGGAGUACGCCGGCAACGGUGAAACUCAAAGGAAUUGGCGGGG
rnacentral:rRNA from 1 species